rnacentral:tRNA from 1 species
GCCUGGCUGGCUCAGUUGGUACAGCAUGUGAUUCUCAAUCUCAGGGUCAUGAGUUUGAGCCCCAUGUUGGGCA